AUGCAAGUCGAACGGUGAACACGGAGCUUGCUCUGUGGGAUCAGUGGCGAACGGGUGAGUAACACGUGAGCAACCUGCCCCUGACUCUGGGAUAAGCGCUGGAAACGGCGUCUAAUACUGGAUACGAACCAUGAAGGCAUCUUCAGUGGUUGGAAAGAUUUAUUGGUUGGGGAUGGGCUCGCGGCCUAUCAGCUUGUUGGUGAGGUAAUGGCUCACCAAGGCGUCGACGGGUAGCCGGCCUGAGAGGGUGACCGGCCACACUGGGACUGAGACACGGCCCAGACUCCUACGGGAGGCAGCAGUGGGGAAUAUUGCACAAUGGGCGCAAGCCUGAUGCAGCAACGCCGCGUGAGGGAUGACGGCCUUCGGGUUGUAAACCUCUUUUAGCAGGGAAGAAGCGAAAGUGACGGUACCUGCAGAAAAAGCGCCGGCUAACUACGUGCCAGCAGCCGCGGUAAUACGUAGGGCGCAAGCGUUAUCCGGAAUUAUUGGGCGUAAAGAGCUCGUAGGCGGUUUGUCGCGUCUGCUGUGAAAUCCGGAGGCUCAACCUCCGGCCUGCAGUGGGUACGGGCAGACUAGAGUGCGGUAGGGGAGAUUGGAAUUCCUGGUGUAGCGGUGGAAUGCGCAGAUAUCAGGAGGAACACCGAUGGCGAAGGCAGAUCUCUGGGCCGUAACUGACGCUGAGGAGCGAAAGGGUGGGGAGCAAACAGGCUUAGAUACCCUGGUAGUCCACCCCGUAAACGUUGGGAACUAGUUGUGGGGUCCAUUCCACGGAUUCCGUGACGCAGCUAACGCAUUAAGUUCCCCGCCUGGGGAGUACGGCCGCAAGGCUA
rnacentral:rRNA from 1 species